rnacentral:rRNA from 1 species
GAUUAGAGUUUGAUCAUGGCUCAGAUUGAACGCUGGCGGCAGGCCUAACACAUGCAAGUCGAGCGAGAAAGCCCUUCGGGGUGAGUACAGCGGCGGACGGGUGAGUAACGCGUAGGAAUCUACCUAGUAGUGGGGGACAACUCGAGGAAACUCGAGCUAAUACCGCAUACGCCCUAAGGGGGAAAGCGGGGGAUCUUCGGACCUCGCGCUAUUGGAUGAGCCUGCGUAGGAUUAGCUUGUUGGUGAGGUAAAAGCUCACCAAGGCGACGAUCCUUAGCUGGUCUGAGAGGAUGAUCAGCCACACUGGGACUGAGACACGGCCCAGACUCCUACGGGAGGCAGCAGUGGGGAAUAUUGCGCAAUGGGGGCAACCCUGACGCAGCCAUGCCGCGUGUGUGAAGAAGGCCUUAGGGUUGUAAAGCACUUUCAAUUGGGAAGAAAAGCUGUUGCUUAAUAAGUAACAGCCCUGACAUUACCUUUAGAAGAAGCACCGGCUAACUCCGUGCCAGCAGCCGCGGUAAUACGGAGGGUGCGAGCGUUAAUCGGAAUUACUGGGCGUAAAGCGCGCGUAGGCGGUUGUUUAAGUCGGAUGUGAAAGCCCUGGGCUCAACCUGGGAACUGCAUUCGAUACUGGGCAACUAGAGUAUGAAAGAGGGAGGUAGAAUUCCAUGUGUAGCGGUGAAAUGCGUAGAUAUAUGGAGGAAUACCAGUGGCGAAGGCGGCCUCCUGGUUCAAUACUGACGCUGAGGUGCGAAAGCGUGGGGAUCAAACAGGAUUAGAUACCCUGGUAGUCCACGCCGUAAACGAUGUCUACUAGCCGUUGGGAGACUUGAUUUCUUAGUGGCGC